GAUCGGAAUCAUCGGAUGAUGUGAGAGUGAGUCUCACAGAGCAUGCAAUGGAAAGUACCUUAUACGUUUAAGAGUUAUCUCAUUCCCGGAAUUACCACGGACCUACCGGACAAAUGAGGUCUGAAAAAGCAACACUCAGCUGUUGCAGCCGUGAUAAGUGUAGUUAAAGAUUAGAUGAGGCAUGGCCAAGUACAUGUGCCCCACUGUAGCUGUUCUCCCUACAUCGUGCAGUAGGCCCAGGAAGCCCUCACAUUAUUUCAGUAUGUUACAUGCGUGCAUCAUACACACUAUUAACCUUAGAGCAUAUACUACAUGGAGGAAGCAUGCCUAGUUAAAAAGUGUAGAUAACGGUGAGAGAGAGAGAGAUGAUGGUUUGGGUACCGUUCGGACUGCGUGCCUCACUCCGGCUACCUAAUGUGUUAAUUCUCGUAAACACAUUCGAAGUGAACGUUUCAUAGUGAAUGGUACACGGAAAAAAGACGAUCGUCGAAAAUCGUUAGUGCAGAACCUUGAACCUUUUUUAUGGCAAUGUGAUUGUAAUAAUAAUUAUCAGAAUAUCUCGAAAUAAACAUAGUUGUUACUUGUGACAGGUGAAAUAUAGCGGUACAAAUUUCAAGGUGAAGACACGUGUGUUAUCAUUUCCGACACUACCCUGGUGUAUUCCGCCGACGAAUACGGAAGCUGAAUGGUGUACCUGGUUCAACAAACGGAAAAGCGUAUAUGAAAUUUGGUCUCAGACAAUAAAACAAAAUUCUUUUUAUAAAACAAUUGUGGAAUCUUAAAUAAAUGUCUUCGAACUUGGAUUAAGAAAAGAAUUAGUGUUUUUUCUUUUUUUUUAAAAAAA